rnacentral:lncRNA from 1 species
UGUUCUGUUGCUGCUUCUUUUACUAUUUCAUCUCCCCUAAAGUUUUUUUCAUAGUUCUUACAUCCUUCUCAUUUCUUCAAAGUGAGAAUUCUACGCUCCAGCAAUAGCAGAGAUAGAUAACACAAAUGACAUUCGUAUCAUACACUCUUCUUAAAAACUGAACCCGAGGGAAAAAAUGAUACCCUUGAACAGUGAGGCAUAAUGAAAGUUUCUUUAUUGAUUCUUGCAUUUAUUACUACUGCUUUACUGCCUGUAGCAGGUAUUACAAUGUACCGAUUUAUUAGGCUGUAGUUAGAAAACAAUUGCUUCUUUACACAUUAUAAAUGUAACCUGGCAUUAUAUUUAAGCUAAGCACAUGCAUGUUUUUAAUACUUGAAUUUCAACUCAAGAGAAAAAAAAAUGUUCUAUGUUACACUAGUGUGAUGGAUUUUUUAAUUACUAAAUGCUAAUAUUAAGGGUAAUUUGAGGUAAAACAAAAAAUAAAAAGUUCAUGUAGUAAUCAAAGCAUCUACUCUGGGUUGUUAAAAAUAAAAA